rnacentral:rRNA from 1 species
AUUGAACGCUGGCGGCAGGCCUAACACAUGCAAGUCGAACGAGUGGCGGACGGGUGAGUAAUGUCUGGGAAACUGCCCGAUGGAGGGGGAUAACUACUGGAAACGGUAGCUAAUACCGCAUACCAUCGGAUGUGCCCAGAUGGGAUUAGCUAGUAGGUGGGGUAACGGCGCACCUAGGCGACGAUCCCUAGCUGGUCUGAGAGGAUGACCAGCCCUACUGGAUCGCAGCAACGGACCAGACUCCAACGGGUGUCAGCAGUGGGGAAUAUUGCACAAUGGGCGCAAGCCUGAUGCAGCCAAUCCGCGUGGAUGUAGAAGGCCUUAGGGUUGUAAAGUACUUUCAGCGAGGAAGCGUUACUCGCAGAAGAAGCGCCGGCUAACUCCGUUCCAGCAGCCGCGGUAAUAC